AUGAGAAACAGAGAGAGAGAGAGAGAGAGGAGAGAGAGAGAGAGAGAGGCAGAGACACAGGCCGAGGGAGCAGCGGGGUCCAAGCAGGGAGCCCGACGCGGGCCUCGAUCCCGGGACCCGGGGUCACGCCCUGGGCCGGGGGCAGAUGCUGCAGCGCUGAGCAUCCCGAGCCCCUCGGUUUCGGCCGUGAGAGGCGGCACACAGGCCCGCAGAAGUGCGGCCACAACGAGCCCAGAGUCCCGGAGUAAACCCUCGAGUCCCCGCAGCCCCCCCCCCCCCCAGCGCCGCCCGCCGCCUCGGGACCGCGCCGCCUGGGAGCAGGGGGGCCGCCGCGGUCGCUCCCGGCCCGAGCCCCCCGCGCCCCGACCUGGCCCGCGCCCCCGGCCUCCGCGCUCCGGGAAGGGGAAGCGUGCGGGAGGGGAAGGGCGGCGGCCUCCGCGGCCCUCUUUCCGACUCAGGUGUCUCUGUUGCUCCAUAAAUAAAACGUGUCCGGGCCCCGUGCGACGCUAUAAAGGCGGCGGCGCGGCGGCCCGGGGCACUCCCGGCGGGCCCGCGGCCGGAACAGGUGAGCGGCCCGACCGCCGCCCCGCCCCGCCCCGCCCCGCCCCGCCCCGCCCCGCUGCCCCGGGAGCCCCGCUGCCCCGGGAGCCCCGCCAGCGGCCGGCCCUGCGCGGGGUCGGGCGGGAGGGCAGGCCCCGCGGCCUCGUCUGCGGGGUCGGGGGCGGGGGUCGGGGGGCGGGGGGCCGGCGCCAGGGCACUGCACCUGCCCCGACGCGGCCCCCGGCGGGACGGCGACCGCCGCUGGAAUUUGCCUGGGGACCCGGGGACCGGGGCCUGACGUCUCCACGCCCAGCCCGGGGGCCGGAGCUGCGCCCUGGGUCGGCGCCGCGCGAGAGGAGCGCGGGCUCCCGCCGGGCUUUGGGGGAGAUUUCAGGACGCGGACAGCGCCCCGGCGGCCGGCGGGCGGGGGCUGGGUCGAGCCCCGGAGCCCCCGGAGCCCCCGGACCCCGGGCGGGGCGGCAGGUGCGGGCGGCGGGACCCCGGGACCUCGGGGCAGCAGGUGCGGGCGACGGGACCGCGGGACCCCGGGCAGGGCGGCAGGUGCGGGCGGCGGGACCCCGGGACCUCGGGGCAGCAGGUGCGGGCGACGGGACCGCGGGACCCCGGGGCAGCAGGUGCGGGCGACGGGACCGCGGGACCCCGGGGCAGCAGGGUCCCGCGGGCGACGGGAUCCCGGGACCUCGGGACCCCGGGCAGGGCGGCAGGUGCGGGCGGCGGGACCCCGGGACCCCGGCAGGGUAG
rnacentral:lncRNA from 1 species